rnacentral:lncRNA from 1 species
CCAUGCUCUUUCUGCUUAUGUUGACGAUCAAGAGAAGUUUUUCUUACAUCAUUGAUCGAUUUUGAAUGGAGAAAUAGCAUAGAUCAACGAUGAUAAAAGAGGUAAAUAAGUACCAGUCUGUUUAUUGCAUCAACGUGCUAAACUAUACAGCAAACAGCCCACACUCCGUACAAGCCGGCGAUACUGGCAACGCCAUCCAAAUACAAUAGGCAACAACAACGGAAAUGUAUGCUAGGAUGCAAGAUACCAUAUACUCAUAUAGUAGGACACAGCAGCGUCUGCUGAGGCUAGAACGUAAACGAACGCAGGCAUCAUCAACCCAAAUAGCAAAGCACUGAACUGUAUGGUGCUUACGAACGAACGGCACAGAUCCGGGGGCUUCUUCAGCCGCUGCGGGUCCAGACGACGUGGUCCUGCGGCAGGAAGUGGCACACCGGCGCCCCGCCGGGCUUCACCUUGAGCACCUGGAACGCCACGUGCCUCGGGUUCCAGCCGGCCGUGUCGGCGUGGCACACCGCCACGGCCUCCACCGCCGUGCCGUCCUUGCCGACCAUGGACACCGUGUACGCCCUCGUCGCCUGCGUCAGGUGGCACGCGAACACGGCGUACGCGUACGGCUCCGCGUGGCAGGCCACGAGCUGGUCGGCCCCCGCCGCGCGCCUCACGCCGGCCAUGGUGUACUCCUGCUCCGGCGACCCCUCCUUUCCGACCACCGUGGAGGCGGCCCUCACGUGGCUGGUCCCGAGGCUGGACGUGGCGAAGUCCACCAUGGACUCCAGCGACGUGGCGCACGACUUCUUCUCCCCCUUGGCCGCCGUCGCCUCGCACUCGCGCAGCGUCUGCUUCAUCUCCGCGGCCUCGGCGGAGUCCGGCGCCACGGAGAAGCGGCUGAGGAUCUCGGGGGCCUUCUCCGAGGAGAACGGGAUGGCGUCGGCCUCGCUCCGCGGCAGGAACUUCUCGCCGGCGCCCGGGGUGGCCAUGAAAUGGACGUUCAUCUUCUUCCCGGCGUGCAGAUCCUUCUCCAGGAAGAAGAGCGCGGCGCUGGGGUCGUCGUGCAGCUGCGUCUCCGUCGCGGCGUAGUUGUAUAGGAAAGGCGAGACGUUGACGUGGACAGGCUUACCCCGGGGUUUGCCGCCUGGCUUACCGUAGCCAGGCUUGACGUUGACGCCGACGCCGCCCUUGCCAACGCCGACCGUGGUGCCGCCUGGCUUACCGUAGCCGGGCUUGACGUUGACGCCGACGCCACCCUUCCCGA